UGAGCAGCGACCUCGUCGACGGGCCGCGCCGGUUGAGGCGCACACACGCAUAUCCGUUCCUGUACCGCACCCGAGCACUCUCACCUUCCUUUCCAUCCCGGAUGCUUCUGGUUAGAUCCCCUCCCGAAUUCCGCAUAUGCGCACACUUUUCUCUUGCGAUUUGUUGUUGAAAUUGAAUUUAUGAUUUGAUAUGAAUUGUGGAAAUCUCUUCCUCUGUCUGCGUAUGAACUGAGCUCGUUGCUUUCUUAAGGGAAUCCGUUUUAACCGAGGUACUCGCUCCGACCGGUAUUCCUCGUCUCAAAUUUGCCCAAAUACAGAUGUAUUUAUGUGUAAAAAGCAUUUAGAUAAAUGUAAUAUUUGACGAGUAAUUUCAUCCGGAGGGAGUAAAACAAAAUUCAUAACGGAAUCGGUGUCAGAUUCGGCCUGCGCAGAACAAAAGAGCUUCACACUCAAGACUCGCCGCCAACCAACCGCCGUCAGCAAUUAUUGUCUGAAUCCGACCGAGGGUGCCCCAAAUCACCGCCCCAGAUCUCUCAAUCAAUCGCCGCGGGGAGCUUAAGAUGAUAGUGUCUAUGGUGGCAAGGCUGGAGCAGAGGCUGUUGUUCUUGGGCAAGGAGAAGAGGGAUAAUGACCACCUCUACAUGGUUGGGGUGAGGGACAAGGACAAAGUGCUGCUCCUUUAGGAUGCAUAACUAAAGUUACUAUACACAGGUAGGCGAAUUCUGCAGUGCCAUUCCAAGUGCUGAAUUGGUAGUGCUAUUGGAAUGAGGUUAUGUAUUUUGAAUUGCAUGCAGAAAAAUGAUUUUUAUAGUGAAUUGAUGGUGCUAUUUUGAAA